UGAGUUUAAGGGAGCUUACGAGGCUCGCGGGACGCCAGCUGAUGCUUAUCUCUUUACAUGCCAACCUGCAGAAGGAAAUGGUGCUGGCAUCGUAAAUGAACCAUGCAAUAUAUAUGACCAAAACUACGCAGGUAUGUGUUUUCCUUUUAUCUUUUGGAGUUCCACUUAUAAUGUGUGGCUGAUGGAUGGAUGAUUCAUUAUGGAUGAAAAGGCAUGGAUGGAGCUUUGAAAUUUUGAUUGUGCUAUCCAACUGUAAAAUAUAUUUUGAUUUAUGCAUUGCUCAUUUAACAUUUUUUGACGGAAUAUUACUUUUAGAAACACGGAAACUAUGUUGUUCUCGAAUGAUAGAUUGUUUGAAUCGACGUUGGAUCGAUAUUGUUAAACAUAUAUAUGCCGAGUCCUUUCUAAGUGUUUUUGCUCGAGGGAUUUGAAGUGCUUACCCCAUUGCCAGAAGGGUGAGGGCCCAAGUAAUGACUGAGAAAGCUGCGGCGGACAGCAAGCUUGCCGGUUUCGACCGUGAGACGUCGAGUAAGCCGGUGAGCGAAGUUGCGGUGCCGACGACCCCGGCGAUGAGCGAGAAUAUCACGAAG
rnacentral:lncRNA from 1 species